rnacentral:rRNA from 1 species
AGUGAACGCUGGCGGUAGGCCUAACACAUGCAAGUCGAACGGCAGCACAGUAAGGGCUUGUCUUUACGGGUGGCGGGUGGCGGAGGGUUGAGGAAUAAAUCGGAAUUUACUUUUUCUUGGGGGAUAACGUAGGGAAAUUUCCGCUAAUCCCGCAUAGGACCUACGGGUGAAAGCAGGGGUUCUUCGGACUUUGGCCGAUGAAUUGGGCCGAUGUCGGAUUAGCUAGUUGGCGGGGUAAAGGCCCACCAAGGCGACGAUCCGUAGCUGGUCUGAGAGGAUGAUCAGCCACACUGGAACUGAGACACGGUCCAGACUCCUACGGGAGGCAGCAGUGGGGAAUAUUGGACAAUGGGCGCAAGCCUGAUCCAGCCAUACCGCGUGGGUGAAGAAGGCCUUCGGGUUGUAAAGCCCUUUUGUUGGGAAAGAAAAGCAGCAGGUUAAUACCCCGCUGUUCUGACGGUACCCAAAGAAUAAGCACCGGCUAACUUCGUG